GUGCUUUCAAUCAGCAGCUGAUUGCUACUCUUGUUUCCCACCUGGCUCCCUGCCCCUGAAGGGUUCAAUCCUUUAUGCUACAAGCUGCUUCAAAACGCUUCAGUGACAAGACCCCGACAGAAAACACAAACAAAAACAAACAGCACAAAAUGGAGCAUAAACAUACAAGGCUGCCAAGAGACGCUCAUCCAGGAUGUUUUCCUCUGGUUCCCAUGUGCUGUACCUACAAAGACAGAUGACUGCGUGAGGACGAGGAAGGGCAAUAAAUGCAGACACGUGUGCUGCCACGGGAGACACGGGCGUGGACGUGCAUUGCGGUGGCUGCCGUGGAAACGUGCGCAACCACCAUUUUGACGAUUUCCCGGUUGGUGCUUUCACAUCACACACACAUAUACGCACACGUCCAUAUUUGGUAUAGACGCGACGUGCAUGUGAGAAGCCGCAAUGGCGCCUGACGCAAUGUUGUAGCGCCUAAAGAAGAGAGAGACUGAGACAGAGCGCCAUUGGCUGCGUGGUUUCUGGGCAACUGCAUGCUGCACACUGCGCUAUACUUGCACCAAGCUUGCAGCAGGCGACAUUUUCUAUUUGCAGCUCGCAUUUUGUCCAUGGUCUCACAAACAAUCGCUAUAUUAGUGUUGAUAUUUUAAGAAUGGGUCGCACUAAGACGCGUUUGUAACAACGUUCAUGCAGCAAGGUGAACUAAAUAAGGUCUUAUAUUCAUGGGGGGUUUUAGUGCAGGUGUAUAAAGGAGUUGCAUACACACCUCUAUCCAUGUUUUUUUUUCUUCUUUGCUGAAGUACAGUAGUACUUUGAGUGCUGGAUUCCUGGCUAAUUUGCAUAUUUAAAUAUCAAAUAUAAAAUGCAUGUCAAGCCGCCCCGACUUUGUAACAUAGUCCUUGCAACAGGCCUCAUGAAGGCUGCUGAUGAUAAAGGCGGAAUGUGAAACAUCACCCUUGUCUAUAAAUAUGUUGGCCUGUUUCACUUUGAUGCAUGGGCUAACUCGCUCACACAUGCAUCCAUUUAGGGCCUGCACGGAAAGUUGGACUGAUCCAUUCUAUCACUCUUUUUUUUUAUAAAUGAUACAAAUGAUGCUCCACUUUUUGCCUUCAUUUACACGUCAUGUGAUCGUUUUAGGUUUGCUUUCUCCUUUUGAGUUUAAGCGCGGGGCGUGGGGACACGUGACCGAGGGAACGAGUCAAAACUGUAAGCAUGUGACCUUGAAGGCAUCAUGUGAGUUGAAAAUCCCCGUCUUGACAAGAUAAAAAGGAAAACAUGUCGUUGACUACCAUUUUAAGGUCUUUAAUGAUUGAUUUCAACCUAUUUUAUUCAUGUUGUUUAGUGUAAAAAAAGUACAUUUUGCAACAAACUGUCUAAAUUGUACUCGCAUGUUUAAACAUAUACCUAUUCAUAUACAGUACUCCAAACAGGUUUUGUGAGAUCCUAUACUGAUGCUUUAUUUUUAGCCAUCAACAAGCUUCUGACAUAAUUCUGGCUGGAUAUUUGACUUCUCUUUGUGGUGGAUUUAGAGUUCAUUUAAUUUGGUUGGUCUACUAGCAUCAUAGAGUUGAAGUUGUUGCAUUGGAGAUGUGUGUUUGGGUUCAUUGUCCUGUGUGGAUGUUUUCAACCUUCACGCUGAGGACUUGGAGGUAGUUCAUGAGCUGCUACAUGUUCUUUGAAAGACGCACCUUGACUCCUUCAAACAGCACAAUCUUUGUCUCUCAACUGACAAUAAAACAUCUAGCUUGUUCUUGUUGGAGGCUUCAGAUUUCAGUCAGUUUCCUUGGUCGAGAUGCCGGGUGUUCUAGCAGUUUCCAGUCCAUG